GACGAACGCUGGCGGCGUGCCUAAUGCAUGCAAGUCGCACGCGGCACCUUCGGGUGCUGAGUGGCGAACGGCUGAGGAACACGUGGGGACCUGUCCGGGAGUGGGGGACAACACCGCGAAAGCGGUGCUAAUCCCGCAUACGCUCUGAGGAGGAAAGCCGAAAGGCGCUCCCGGGUGGCCCUGCGGCCCAUCAGGUUGUUGGUGGGGUAACGGCCUACCAAGCCAAUGACGGGUCGCUGGUCUGUGAGGACGACCAGCCAGACUGGGACUGGGACACGGCCCGGACUCCUACGGGAGGCGGCAGAAAGGAAUUUUGGGAAAUGGGCGCAAGCCUGACCGGGCAACGCCGGGGGCAGGAAGAGGGCCUUGGGGUUGUAAACUGCUUUUGCUAGGGAUGAUAAAGGAAGGACCCUGGCGAAUCAGCCCGGGCAAACUCUUG
rnacentral:rRNA from 1 species